rnacentral:rRNA from 1 species
UACGUAGGGUGCGAGCGUUGUCCGGAUUUAUUGGGCGUAAAGAGCGUGUAGGCGGCCAGAUAGGUCAGCUGUGAAAACUCGAGGCUCAACCUCGAGAUGUCGGCUGAAACCAUCUGGCUAGAGUCCGGAAGAGGAGAAUGGAAUUCCCGGUGUAGCGGUGAAAUGCGCAGAUAUCAGGAGGAACACCGAUGGCGAAGGCAGCUCGCUGGGACGGUACUGACGCUGAGGCGCGAAAGCGUGGGGAGCGAACAGG